CGGUAAUACGGAGGGUGCAAGCGUUUAAUCGGAAUUACUGGGCGUAAAGCGCACGCAGGCGGUCUGUCAAGUCGGAUGUGAAAUCCCCGGGCUCAACCUGGGAACUGCAUUCGAAACUGGCAGGCUAGAGUCUUGUAGAGGGGGGUAGAAUUCCAGGUGUAGCGGUGAAAUGCGUAGAGAUCUGGAGGAAUACCGGUGGCGAAGGCGGCCCCCUGGACAAAGACUGACGCUCAGGUGCGAAAGCGUGGGGAGCAAACAGGAUUAGAUACCCUGGUAGUCCACGCUGUAAACGAUGUCGAUUUGGAGGUUGUGCCCUUGAGGCGUGGCUUCCGGAGCUAACGCGUUAAAUCGACCGCCUGGGGAGUACGGCCGCAAGGUUAAAACUCAAAUGAAUUGACGGGGGCCCGCACAAGCGGUGGAGCAUGUGGUUUAAUUCGAUGCAACGCGAAGAACCUUACCUGGUCUUGACAUCCACAGAACUUUCCAGAGAUGGAUUGGUGCCUUCGGGAACUGUGAGACAGGUGCUGCAUGGCUGUCGUCAGCUCGUGUUGUGAAAUGUUGGGUUAAGUCCCGCAACGAGCGCAACCCUUAUCCUUUGUUGCCAGCGGUCCGGCCGGGAACUCAAAGGAGACUGCCAGUGAUAAACUGGAGGAAGGUGGGGAUGACGUCAAGUCAUCAUGGCCCUUACGACCAGGGCUACACACGUGCUACAAUGGCAUAUACAAAGAGAAGCGACCUCGCGAGAGCAAGCGGACCUCAUAAAGUAUGUCGUAGUCCGGAUUGGAGUCUGCAACUCGACUCCAUGAAGUCGGAAUCGCUAGUAAUCGUAGAUCAGAAUGCUACGGUGAAUACGUUCCCGGGCCUUGUACACACCGCCCGUCACACCAUGGGAGUGGGUUGCAAAAGAAGUAGGUAGCUUAACCUUCGGGAGGGCGCUACACUUGUCG
rnacentral:rRNA from 1 species